UACAGAGGUCUCAAGCGUUGUUCGGAUUCAUUGGGCGUAAAGGGUGUGUAGGUGGCGCGCUAAGUCGGGUGUGAAAUUUCGGAGCUUAACUCCGAAACUGCAUUCGAUACUGGCGUGCUUGAGGACUGGAGAGGAGACUGGAAUUUACGGUGUAGCAGUGAAAUGCGUAGAUAUCGUAAGGAAGACCAGUGGCGAAGGCGGGUCUCUGGACAGUUUCCCGU
rnacentral:rRNA from 1 species